rnacentral:rRNA from 1 species
AAAUUGAAGAGUUUGAUCAUGGCUCAGAUUGAACGCUGGCGGCAGGCCUAACACAUGCAAGUCGAACGGUAGCACAGAGAGCUUGCUCUCGGGUGACGAGUGGCGGACGGGUGAGUAAUGUCUGGGAAACUGCCCGAUGGAGGGGGAUAACUACUGGAAACGGUAGCUAAUACCGCAUAAUGUCGCAAGACCAAAGAGGGGGACCUU